CAGCCGCCGCGGUAAUACCGGCGGCCCGAGUGGCGGCUACUAUUAUUGGGCCUAAAGCGUCCGUAGCCGGGCUGGUAAGUCCUCCGGGAAAUCUGGUCGCUUAACGAUCAGACUUCCGGAGGAUACUGCUGGCCUAGGGACCGGGAGAGGCCGAGGGGAUUCCCGGGGUAGGGGUGAAAUCCUGUAAUCCCGGGAGGACCACCUGUGGCGAAGGCGCUCGGCUGGAACGGGUCCGACGGUGAGGGCCGAAGGCCAGGGGAGCGAACCGGAUUAGAUACCCGGGUAGUCCUGGCUGUAAACGAUGCGGACUAGGUGUCGGGCAAGCUAAGGGCUUGUCCGGUGCCGUAGGGAAGCCGUUAAGCCCGCCGCCUGGGGAGUACGGCCGCAAGGCUGAAACUUAAAGGAAUUGGCGGG
rnacentral:rRNA from 1 species